UAGUGAGCGGUCAGAAGUGAAGCGGCAACAGCUCAAAUUUGAAAUCUGGCUCUUUUAGAGUCCGAGUUGUAAUUUGCAGAGGGCGCUUUGGCGUUGGCAGCGGUCCAAGUUCUUUGGAACAGGACGUCACAGAGGGUGAGAAUCCCGUACGUGGUCGCUAGCCUUCGCCGUGUAAAGCCCCUUCGACGAGUCGAGUUGUUUGGGAAUGCAGCUCUAAAUGGGAGGUAAAUUUCUUCUAAAGCUAAAUACUGGCCAGAGACCGAUAGCGCACAAGUAGAGUGAUCGAAAGAUGAAAAGCACUUUGGAAAGAGAGUCAAAUAGCACGUGAAAUUGUUGAAAGGGAAGCGCUUGCAGCCAGACUUGCCUGUAGUUGCUUAUCCGGACUUUUGUCCGGUGCACUCUUCUGCGGGCAGGCCAGCAUCAGUCUAGGCGGUUGGAUAAAGGUCUCUGUCAUGUACCUCUCUUCGGGGAGGCCUUAUAGGGGAGACGACAUGCAACCAGCCUGGACUGAGGUCCGCGCAUCUGCUAGGAUGCUGGCGUAAUGGCUGUAAGCGGCCCGUCUUGAAACACGGACCAAGGAGUCUAACAUCUAUGCGAGUGUUUGGGUGUCAAGCCCAGACGCGUAAUGAAAGUGAACGGAGGUGGGAACCCUUUGGGUGCACCAUCGACCGAUCCUGAUGUCUUCGGAUGGAUUUGAGUAAGAGCAUGGCUGUUGGGACCCGAAAGAUGGUGAACUAUGCUUGAAUAGGGUGAAGCCAGAGGAAACUCUGGUGGAGGCUCGCAGCGGUUCUGACGUGCAAAUCGAUCGUCAAAUUUGGGCAUAGGGGCGAAAGACUAAUCGAACUAUCUAGUAGCUGGUUCCUGCCGAAGUUUCCCUCAGGAUAGCAGUAACGUAUUCAGUUUUAUGAGGUAAAGCGAAUGAUUAGAGGCCUGGGGGUUGAAACAACCUUCACCUAUUCUCAAACUUUAAAUAUGUAAGAAGUCCUUGUUACUUGAUUGAACGUGGACACUUGAAUGUACCGUUACUAGUGGGCCAUUUUUGGUAAGCAGAACUGGCGAUGCGGGAUGAACCGAACGCGGGGUUAAGGUGCCAGAAUAUACGCUCAUCAGACACCACAAAAGGUGUUAGUUCAUCUAGACAGCAGGACGGUGGCCAUGGAAGUCGGAAUCCGCUAAGGAGUGUGUAACAACUCACCUGCCGAAUGAACUAGCCCUGAAAAUGGAUGGCGCUCAAGCGUAUUACCCAUACCCCGCCGCCGGGGCAGAAUUUAUGCCCCGGCGAGUAGGCAGGCGUGGAUGAGCCUCGUGA
rnacentral:rRNA from 1 species